UACGGAGGGGGCUAGCGUUGUUCGGAAUUCCUGGGCGUAAAGGGCUCGUAGGUGGCCAACUAAGUCAGACGUGAAAUCCCCAGGCUCAACUUGGGAACUGCGUCUGAUACUGGAUGGCUUGAAUUCGGGAGAGGGAUGCAGAAUUCCAGGUGUAGCGGUGAAAUGCGUAGAUAUCUGGAGGAAUACCGGUGGCGAAGGCGGCAUCCUGGACCGAGAUUGACACUGAUGAGCGAAAGCCAGGGGAGCAAACGGG
rnacentral:rRNA from 1 species